UGGCUUAUAAACUACAAAAUAUGCGUACCAAUUUAACGAGUUUUAGGGAACGUCGGUUUAACCGGAAAAAACGUUAUCCGGACUGGCCUCAGUCCCGAUGAGUCCGGAUAAGAGAGAGGCUACUGUAUUUAAAAACUUUUUCAAGAA